AAGAACCACUUCCUGAGAAACCCAAUGGAGAUGAGAGGCAAACAAAUUCAAAAGAAAACCUGGAUGACAAUUGCUCAGAAGUCUUUAACAUUCUCCAAGCAGUUCACUGUCCCUCUGUGUCCUCAGUGAACAAGAGUUCUGUACCUGCAGUUGACGCACUAAAAAACUCGUGCUCUUUUCGGGAGUUUGUACCUACGCUGAAGGAGGUAAAUCAAGAUGCAAAUAAUGGAUCUAAUGUCACUACUGAACUUCAAGGAAAUCAGAAGCUGGAUAAGCCUGAUGCCAAGCAGACAGUUCAGGAUAAUGGCACUAAUAAAGCUGCA
rnacentral:misc_RNA from 1 species